GGGCGAAUAGCUCAGCUGGGAGAGCACCUGCCUUACAAGCAGGGGGGCACAGUUCCGAGCCCUGUUUCGCCCACCA
rnacentral:tRNA from 1 species